UAACGGUUCAUUUCAACACCCUAAACUGUGUCAGUUGACUCAGAGCUUAGACAUGGGAAAGGCCUCAGUCUGAUGAUAUGCAGCCAUGUUCCAGCAAGCUUUGCGGUACCCGUCCCAUAAUCUCAAGGGUCUGAAAAUAGGGAGAUGGCUGUGGUUUGGGGGGAGCUCUCUACAGCUGCCGGACUGCCAUUUAUUUUGUUAACUUAAACCCAAAUAAUUCCUGUCAGGAUCUGCUCCAGAGUGUCUUGACUCAGCCCUUUUUGAGUUUGCAAUGGGAAGUAUGAAUUGCAAAAGUGAGCCCACGCCUGACACCAGCAGAAAGAGAAGCCUGUUGACGACUAAUUUCCAGCAGCGGGAUAUUACCAAGGAGGAUACCACCAUCCCACACUGCGGGUCAGUCACCUCAGGACCCAUGCUGCCUUUCUACGUCCUUUGACCAGAACAGGCUCCAUAACUGGUGAGGGGGGCUAUUAUUUCCUGCAACACACAAUAGGAUAAGGAUACAAUGCUGGCAGUUUAUCACGCAAAUGCCAAUAAAUUUCAGGGCCAGCCCACGGCCAAUUAGCUGAAAGGGUGAGGAGCUUUCCAGACCCAUCUCCCUAGUCCAAUGCAGACAAACAGUCCACCCACACAUGCUGGCAGCUGCUGGGACUUUUCACCAAGCUAAGAAACAUUGCUGUGCCUUUGAUUCAGCCUUGAAUAGGUUGCACAAUUCAAAACUGUGACUCACUAAAUUCCUAUCUAUUUAAUGUAUUAAUAUUCAUGUGGAAUAAUAUAAAACACAACUGUCUCAGUUGCUAAGGUUGCUCACGAAGACGCCAUCGAUCUUAUUUUCGGCGACACAUGCAGCUAAAAUGACUCAUUAGAGUCUUAUGAAUGGCGUGAGCAAUGGCGAAGGAUUUGGAAAUGAGUUUUUCAUGUGAGAUAAUUUAAAAAAGAUUUGCUUUGUAGUUCGCAUGUAGUUUUGACAUCUAUAUCCAGCAUAAGAAAUGUAAGAAGCCCAUCUGUUCAUAACAGCUUAACAAGAACAAAAAGGGCAAAGAAAAUAUGCCUGCCGCCUUCUUCCAAUAACUGGUUUGGCAGUAGAUAAACUGC
rnacentral:lncRNA from 12 species